CUCCCUCUCUCCAUCUCCUCUCUUCAACCCCACCGUGAGCCGGCCACCGUCGACCACGUGGUAUGCACGAGCCCACCGUGGUGCUCGUUUGGUGCUCUGAUUCAAAUAUACAGCUUCUCUUUCCUUUCCCCCCCUCAUUUCAGAAAAGCUUUUCCCCAAAUUUCAAAACUUCUCCCAAACAAAGCUGUUGUCGCUACCGCCCACCACCACCAGCCUUUGCAACCUCCCACCGCCACCGGACCGUCAUCUCCGAUGACCCAUACCCAUCUCCAUCGCUUCCCACCGUACAGAUCCAACGAGCACACCGAGUUGUGAUUGAUGUAUCUAGACCGAGCCCUCUCUUGCUCUCUCUUUCUCUCACCCAGUAGACCGAGUGCCUCUCUCUCUAUCUGCAAGCAGCCUAAAUCAAUUAAGCCGACAGGGUCACGAUCUUUGCUGGUAGGGUUUCUUCGAAAAGUAAUCAACCUGUGGAAUCUUCCACUGAAAUCAGCACCUCCGAGUCCACGCAACGCAGUGGGGCCACAUCUUCAAUUGAGCGCAUUUGUUUUUGUGACCAGCCUGUGAUGGUGAAAACUGCCCACACCACUGAAAAUUUCGGUAGGAGAUUCAUGAGUUGCGAAAAU